ACACCGUAUUAGUAUUGAUUGGGUAACAGUAUAUAUUACAACAUCAAAGGAGGUGCAGGUCUAGACUACACUCUCUCUUCAUUUCAGAGGUUUAAACUCUAUGACAGCUGGUUGUUUUUUGAAACUUGAUUGUAUACGCUGACUGCAAAAAAAGAAAUCCACAAAGAAUGGGUUGUGGUCCAUCUAAAAUGAAAGAAGGCAAGGAAGGCCAGUGUCACAAAAAGGACAAAGGUCACGGAGAGGGCAAAGGCAAAGGUCAUGGAGAGGGCAAAGGCGAGCAUGGCGAAGGUCACGGCAGACGUGGAUCCAACGACUCCAAAGGCAGUCAUGGCAAAGGCCACGACCAUUAGUGCAGAGUCUUUUUUUGUUCUCCACAUUUGCAGCAAUAUAUUGAUUGUUCACUGUGCGAUUUUUAAAUAAUUGAUGUGAAACUGAGUGACAAUGAUUUGUCUGUAGGUGAAAGAAAAAAAAAAAAACUCCCACAAUUCUCAGUCAUUUCACUUUCACACUUUGUUGCUGUUUUUUUUUUUAUGAGAUUCACAUUGUAUCAUCCAAAAUUUAAAAACGAGAUUCCUUUUUGAGAUUCUUAUAUGAUAUUUUAUACGAGAUUUAACUAAGAGAAUAUGAUAUUUUAUACAAGAUUUAACUAAGAGAAUAUGAUAUUUUAUACCAGAUUUAACUAAGAGAAUAUGAUAUUUUAUACCAGAUUUAACUAAGAGAAUAUGAUAUUUUAUACCAGAUUUAACUAAGAGAAUAUGAUAUUUUAUACCAGAUUUAACUAAGAGAAUAUGAUAUUUUAUACCAGAUUUAACUAAGAGAAUAUGAUAUUUUAUACCAGAUUUAACUAAGAGAAUAUGAUAUUUUAUACCAGAUUUAACUAAGAGAAUAUGAUAUUUUAUACCAGAUUUAACUAAGAGAAUAUGAUAUUUUAUACCAGAUUUAACUAAGAGAAUAUGAUAUUUUAUACCAGAUUUAACUAAGAGAAUACGAUAUUUUAUACCGUGUAGCUUAACUUUGGUUGCAUCAUAGUCUUAUUUUUUAUGUCCUCCUCAAGUGAAUAGGUUAUAGUACUGGUAAAUAGGAACACAUCAUACUAACUUUCAUUCUUUCAAAUAAAGAUUAUCCUAUCAUUAACUGUUGAUAAAAAUUAUCUCUUAAAAUCUCAAGACACGUAUGCAGUAUGUUCCUCUUAUUAGUUAUUUAUCUUUUCAGAGCUGCUUUAUAAGAGAAAGAAACUUAUACUCUCCAAUAUUACUCUUUGAAAAUAAUCUUUGAAGAUGUUCAUUAAUUUCCAGAAGUUUGAUUAGUAGGCCUACUGUUCCUGACACAGCAAAUAAUAAUAAUAAUAAUAAUAAAUAAAUAAAUGGUGUAUUUUUUAAAGAGAUUUAAUCCCUGACACUACAUUGUUUUAAGAUUAUAAACCACGUAUUUAGUUCUUUCAUGUUCAUUAUUACAGAUGUUACAUGUUGUUGUUGGUGUAUAUAUCUAAACGAAGCAGUAUUAAAGUAGACAUUGGGAACAAAAAAAAACAAAUGUCUGUAUAGGUCAUAGGUGAUGUAUGAACAUUGUGAAGAGAAAACAAAUGUCAGGUGUUAUAGAUGUGCAAACAUUGAUGUCCUAGUCAUAUUUGAUUAAUAUUAAACUUCUUGGAUAUCA